rnacentral:sRNA from 1 species
CUGCAGCUCUGGAACACUGAGGAGAGCAGGGCAGGACUCAGGGCCCAGGUGGGGAGAAGAGAGGCGGGGGCACAUAUGGAACCUCCCGUGCUCACGCCCCCCCCACCACCCAAGGUGAGCAGGGUGCCAACAGCCUGUUUCCUCUUCUCCUGCUGGACCACGGCGUUUCUGCCCCCGAGUUGGGACUGUGGAAUGGUGUGGGUGCUGUGGUCUGCUCCAUCGCUGGCUCCUUUCUGGGUGGGACCUUGCUGGCCAAGCACUGGUGAGCCCUCCCCCGUGUACCCUGCCCACCCACCUGUACCCGAGCUGCCCCCAAUCCACUAUACUGACCCAUUUCCCACCCCCACCCCAGGGAACUGCUGCCUCUGUUGAGGUCAGUGCUGCAGUUCCGCCUUGGGAGCCUAGCCUGCCAGACUGCCUUGGUCUUCCACCUGGACACCCUGGGGGCCAGCAUGGACCCUGGCACAAUCUUGAGAGGUGAGGGGCUGGCCUUGAGGAGGAAGAGAGGGGCCAGGAGCCUGGGGCACUGCUGACUUCUGCCCUCCCAGGGUCAGCCUUGCUGAGCCUAUGUCUGCAGCACUUCUUGGGAGGCCUGGUCACCACAGUCACCUUCACUGGGAUGAUGCGCUGCAGCCAGCUGGCCCCCAGGGCCCUGCAGGCCACACACUACAGCCUUCUGGCCACUCUGGAGCUGCUGGGGAAGCUGCUGCUGGGCACUCUGGCCGGAGGCCUGGCUGAUGGGUUGGGUCCACAUCCCUGCUUCUUGCUCCUGCUCAUUCUCUCUGCCUUGCCCAUUCUGUACCUGGGCCUAGUACCCAGCACCUUUCUCUGAGCUGGGUGGCUGGACUG